rnacentral:lncRNA from 1 species
UGAUGUGGCCAGUGAAUGCCACCCUCUAAAUUUAGCUAUCUAUGGCAUCAAUUCUGAGUUCUGAAAGCUGGCUGUUAAAGAUGAAGUGGUGAUGUGUUAUCCAUGGUUAAACUAUCAUAGCUAGCUCCGUGAGUUUUAUUCUCUUGUUCCUUUUUUGGCUUUAGCAUCUGGAUCACGAGGAUGCCUGUGAAGUACCUGUUGUGAAUUGUAUGUGGAUGCUGAUAAAGUACCUAUUCUGAAUUGUAUAUGGAUGCUGAUAAAUCUCAAUUACUUCAUGCCAGAAUGUAAUGUAAUUGUUGACGUACAUUGAGCCUUUUUAUUGGAUAUAUACCACUGCAGUGAAAAAUAUUGUGACUAGUUAGGGCAUCUCCAACCGCCUACAUCACAGGUGUCCACACAUGAGUCUGACCGGG